rnacentral:rRNA from 1 species
GUACACUCCUACGGGAGGCAGCAGUGGGGAAUAUUGGACAAUGGGCGCAAGCCUGAUCCAGCCAUGCCGCGUGAGUGAUGAAGGCCCUAGGGUUGUAAAGCUCUUUCACCGGUGAAGAUAAUGACGGUAACCGGAGAAGAAGCCCCGGCUAACUUCGUGCCAGCAGCCGCGGUAAUACGAAGGGGGCUAGCGUUGUUCGGAUUUACUGGGCGUAAAGCGCACGUAGGCGGACUAUUAAGUCAGGGGUGAAAUCCCGGGGCUCAACCCCGGAACUGCCUUUGAUACUGGUAGUCUUGAGUUCGAGAGAGGUGAGUGGAAUUCCGAGUGUAGAGGUGAAAUUCGUAGAUAUUCGGAGGAAUACCAGUGGCGAAGGCGGCUCACUGGCUCGAUACUGACGCUGAGGUGCGAAAGCGUGGGGAGCAAACAGGAUUAGAUACCCGGGUAGUCCC